rnacentral:tRNA from 1 species
UAAUAAGAAGCGAACAUUGCACUCAGUUUCGACCUGAAAAUAGGAUAUAUAUAAUACCCUUAUUUU